rnacentral:rRNA from 1 species
UGGGGAAUAUUGGGCAAUGGACGAAAGUCUGACGGAGCGACGCCGCGUGGAUGAAGAAGGCCGCAAGGUUGUAAAAUCCUUUUGCUGGGGAAGAAUAAGCGCAGGAGGGAAUGCCUGCGUGAUGACAUGAACCGGCGAAUAAGCCCCGGCCAACUACGUGCCAGCAGCCGCGGUAACACGUAGGGGGCAAGCGUUGUUCGGAAUUACUGGGCGUAAAGGGCAUGUAGGCGGUUUAGUAAGCUUGGCGUGAAAGACCACGGCGUAACUGUGGGGUUGCGUGUAGAACUGCUGAACUUGAGUUACGGAGAGGGAGCUAGCAUUCCUGGUGUAGGGGUGGAAUCUGUAGAGAUCAGGAAGAAUACCGAUGGCGAAGGCAAGCUUCUGGCCGAUAGCUGACGCUGUGGUGCGAAAGUGUGGGGAUCAAGCA